rnacentral:rRNA from 1 species
AGUAAAAGUCGUAACAAGGUUUCCGUAGGUGAACCUGCGGAAGGAUCAUUAUCGAGUUUUUGAACGGGUUGUCUGCUGGCUCGAAAGAGCAUGUGCACGCCUGGCUCAUCCACUCUCAACUUCUGUGCACUUUUCGUAGGCCGGCUUGUGGGUGUCGCGUUCGCGCGCACUUGUAGGUCUGGCUUAUGCUCUACCACAAACGAUUCAGUUAUAGAAUGUCUUUACUUUGCGAUAACGCAAUUAUAUACAACUUUCAGCAACGGAUCUCUUGGCUCUCGCAUCGAUGAAGAACGCAGCGAAAUGCGAUAAGUAAUGUGAAUUGCAGAAUUCAGUGAAUCAUCGAAUCUUUGAACGCACCUUGCGCUCCUUGGUAUUCCGAGGAGCACGCCUGUUUGAGUCUCGUGGAAUUCUCAACCUUCGACUUUGUUGUCGAGGGCUUGGACUUGGAGGUCGUGCCGGCUCUCGUAGUCGGCUCCUCUGAAAUGCAUCAGUGCGAACGUUACCAGCCGCUUCAGCGUGAUAAUUAUCUGCGCUGCUGUGGAGGGUAUGUCAGUGUUCGUGCUUCGAACCGUCUUCGGACGACAUUUCAUCUCUGAGCUCAAAUCAGGUAGGACUACCCGCUGAACUUAAGCAUAUCAAUAAGCGGAGGA